GUUGAGGCAUGGAUCAUUGCAUCACGGAGUUCAAAUCGUUGGUUGUUUCUACCUUAAUUAGUGGUUAUUUUCAACAAGAGAUUCGUUGCUUGAACAAACGAGUCCUGAUAUUCAAAAAGCAGCCAUGAAUUAAUAUCUAUACUAUGUGCAAGAACAUAACACCUUUUCGGAUGGUCGGAUUACAUUAUCUCCCGACUAAAAUAUUUCUGUUAGAGUUUGUUCCCAAAAUUCUAACUAAAUUGUUCUGCCGUUCGAAGAACGAUCAUUUCCAUGGAAAAUAAUUUAAAAAAUACGAGAAAGGCAAAACAAGAAAGAUAUAGGAAAAUCUGCAACAGUUCUA